AUUGAACGCUGGCGGAAUGCUUUACACAUGCAAGUCGAACGGCAGCACGGACUUCGGUCUGGUGGCGAGUGGCGAACGGGUGAGUAAUGUAUCGGAACGUGCCCAGUCGUGGGGGAUAACGUAGUGAAAAUUACGCUAAUACCGCAUACGAUCUAUGGAUGAAAGCGGGGGAUCGCAAGACCUUGCGCGAUUGGACGGGGCGAUAUCAGAUUAGGCAGUUGGUGGGGUAAAGGCCCACCAAGCCAACGAUCUGUAGCUGGUCUGAGAGGACGACCAGCCACACUGGAACUGAGACACGGUCCAGACUCCUACGGGAGGCAGCAGUGGGGAAUUUUGGACAAUGGGCGCAAGCCUGAUCCAGCAAUGCCGCGUGCAGGAUGAAGGCCUUCGGGUUGUAAACUGCUUUUGUACGGAACGAAACGGUGAGCUCUAAUACAGUUUGCUAAUGACGGUACCGUAAGAAUAAGCACCGGCUAACUACGUGCCAGCAGCCGCGGUAA
rnacentral:rRNA from 1 species